rnacentral:rRNA from 1 species
CCCUUAGAUGUUCUGGGCUGCACGCGCGCUACACUGACAUACUCAGCAAGUUUCCUUUCCCGAAAGGGUUGGGUAAUCUUGUUAGUGUAUGUCGUGAUGGGGAUAGAAUAUUGUAAUUAUUGCUCUUUAACGAGGAAUUCCUAGUAAGCGCAAGUCAACAGCUUGCGCUGAUUACGUCCCUGCCCUUUGUACACACCGCCCGUCGCUCCUACCGAUUGGGUGAUCCGGUGAAUGGUUCAGACUCUGGCUAUGCUAGCUACUAGCUACGUCAGGGAAAGUUCUGUGAACCUUAUCACUUGGAGGAAGGAGAAGUCGUAACA